rnacentral:piRNA from 1 species
AAACUUGAGUAGAAAGUAGAGGCUGAGCU